CCUACGGGAGGCUGCAGUGGGGGAUAUUGCACAAUGGGGGAAACCCUGAUGCAGCGACGCCGCGUGAGCGAUGAAGUAUUUCGGUAUGUAAAGCUCUAUCAGCAGGGAAGAAAAUGACGGUACCUGACUAAGAAGCCACGGCUAACUACGUGCCAGCAGCCGCGGUAAUACGUAGGUGGCAAGCGUUAUCCGGAUUUAUUGGGUGUAAAGGGUGCGUAGACGGAGAAGCAAGUUAGUUGUGAAAUCCCUCGGCUUAACUGAGGAACUGCAACUAAAACUACUUCCCUUGAGUACUGGAGAGGAAAGUGGAAUUCCUAGUGUAGCGGUGAAAUGCGUAGAUAUUAGGAGGAACACCAGUGGCGAAGGCGACUUUCUGGACAGUAACUGACGUUGAGGCACGAAAGUGUGGGGAGCAAACAGGAUUAGAUACCCCAGUAGUC
rnacentral:rRNA from 1 species